GCCUGUAUUACCCUGGAUACAUCUGAUCUCAUCCAGUUUUAGAACUAAGCAGGGUCAGGCCUGGUCAGUUCUGGGAUGGGAGACUGGUGGAUGCGAGGGAUCUCCAGAUA
rnacentral:rRNA from 1 species